rnacentral:rRNA from 1 species
AGAGAAGCGAACCCGGUAAACUGAAAUAUCUAAGUAACCGGAGGAAAGGACAUCAACCGAGACUCCGUUAGUAGUGACGAGCGAACGCGGACCAGGCCAGUGGCCAAUUAGAGGAAACCGGAACCGUCUGGAAAGGCGGGCCAUAGCGGGUGAUAGCCCCGUACGGGUAAAGUCUCUUUUUGGUCCUUGAGUAGGGCGGGACACGUGAAAUCCUGUCUGAACGUGGGGGGACCACCCUCCAAGCCUAAGUACUCCUUGGAAACCGAUAGUGAACAAGUACCGUGAGGGAAAGGUGAAAAGCACCCCAAUGAGGGGAGUGAAAUAGACCUGAAACCGAAUGCCUACAAUCAGUCGGAGGGGGCUUGUCCCCUGACGGCGUACCUUUUGUAUAAUGGGUCAGCGAGUUAAUUUGUUGAGCAAGCUUAAGCCGUUAGGUGUAGGCGUAGCGAAAGCGAGUCUGAAUAGGGCGUUUAGUUCGGCGGAUUAGACCCGAAACCUGGUGAUCUAGCUAUGGGCAGGUUGAAGGUGCAGUAACAUGCACUGGAGGACCGAACCCACCAAUGUUGAAAAAUUGGGGGAUGACCUGUGGCUAGGGGUGAAAGGCCAAUCAAACCAGGAUAUAGCUGGUUCUCCGCGAAAACUAUUUUGGUAGUGCGUCGCGUGAUUACCGCCGGG